UUUCAACCAGGGAUGUGUGCGUUUUGCAUUCUGAUCAAAAAUUUUGGGUGGAGCAUCCGUGGAUUCACCGUCUGGAACGACUCGGAAUGGUUGAGAUGAAUGGUUUUGAUUGAUUAUGUAAAAGUAUGAAAGCUCCGUUCGGAAUUACGUCCUCGGUGCUCAUUGGAAAAUUUGAGGAUGCUGGUGAAAAGUGCAUGAAAAGCUGUGCAAUCCGGUGUGCGCCCGGAAGUACCGAUGAAUUCUUUGAAAAUUGCUUGCGUAGUUUUGAAUGUUUCGACCCCCUUCAGAUGUAGUGAAUUGCUGUCAGUGUUGCCAUAUUAAUUAUAAUCACAGCAUUGAUUUUACUUGAUUUCCUAAAUCAUGUGCGUUAGUGUUUACACGGUUUACACACAGAAAAAUAUUUUGUAAUAUUAGCCUGGUACAAAGUGAAAAAUUUGUUUAUGUUGUUCUGGUACAAACUAAGUACUAGAGUUGAUUUUGUUGAUGUGAAGUUCAAAUAUUUUAAGUCUUACAGGCCAGUUGUCAUAUGUUCGAGCCCCGACCGGGAAGGAUUCAUAGUGUCAGUAGGAUCGUAGUACUAGCCAUGCAAUGAUUCUGUACGCUAAGAAUCGGCCGCGAAAUUUGUUGAAACAGAAAUGCCGAAUUCCACAAAAGGAAUGUAAUGCCAAGACUUUGACUUGCCGUAUCUAGCCAUUCGCCCCGGGCUCAGGAAACCAUUCGCCCCGGUCGCAGGAAACCAUUCGCCCCGGUCGCUGUUUUUUAGGGGCUGCGAUGCCGGCUGAGUCGGCCACCGACAAGCCUCGAAAGCAAAUAUGUAAACCACCCGUUUGUCGGUCUAUUUAAAGCUAGUUUAUUUGGUUUAGUUAAAUCGGAAUACGAUUACGAAGCCGAAAUAUUUUCAGUAAAAUCUUUAGUUUCAUUGCGAGGACAAGGCAACCGCGGUGGCGCAAAGCCAAUGAGAUGACGCACUCCGAGUCGUCGAAAGCGGUGGCUCCUUGCUAGAGAUGAUCGGAUAAGCAAUUUCUGAAACCCGACCCGUAUGCGAUAAAAAAAUUGUACCCGUACCCGAAAAAUUUCGGGUAUUCUGGGUCGAAUACCCAAAACACAGAGAACACACAUCCAAGUAGAGAUUUCAAUGUGUGUCAGAUUGAUUUAAAAAGCAAUCACCAAGUAGAAAUUCUCCUGUAGAGACGCUUCAAGCAGCCCAAUAAUCCCUUAUGAGCUCUUGCGUUCGAGCUUUCAUGCGUGCAAAGUCGUGCUCAACAGUGAUUUUUAACGGAUUUUUAUUUGUAUGCUUUACACAGCUUUUUUGAAAAAGUUUACUAGCUUGGAUGUCUGUUCUCUGUGCCCAAAACGUAAUCAAAUUGUUGAAAUUAAAUUCGUUCAAAAUGAAAAAUAAACCGAUCACAGCAAACAUUUUUUUUUUCCAAACCCGACCCCGACUAAAACCCGCCGGGUUCAGGUCGGGUUUCGGGUACAAAUACUUUUUGCAUACAAAUCUGUUAGUUAGGUGUUUUUACUUUAGCAACAUUGUUUUGAAUGUUAUCUACGGUAACAUUUUUUCCUACUGUCUUUUUACACAAAGUUUGUUUAUAAAUUGAAAAUUAUAAUUAGGGUCCCCAUUCAUCUCAGCUUCAGUAGUCAUCUCAUAUACGACAAAGAAAGAUCUGUUACCUCUGUUCGGUAGAUUAACUUUAAGGCUAUGAUAAAAUUAGGUGCAUUAGCUCCGAAUUUUCGCGUCACAAUAUUUGUUGUAUUGCAUAAUUUUCAAACUUUCUCUGCUAUAUUGCUUUUUAUAUCACAAUUCGUUGAUUUAAUGUCGAGUAAUUUGAAAAAUAACAUGGUGAUUCUACUAUUAAGAUGACUAGAUUGGUACAACAGCCCUAUUAUCUCAAUUCUAUCUCAAUAGAAGGGUUGCGUUUUGAUAACAUUCGAAGGUGUAAAUUAAAGAUGUCAUCCGAAAAAACUCAAAUUCAGGUAUAAAAAUUCAACCGUUGGGUAAUAUUUCGCCAUCAUCAGGUUAUCUAUUAAGGUGAUUCAUCUCGUAGUUCAAGCCACUAUACCAUUCUAUUUAUUUACAAUCAACGUUCAACGAUGAUUUCAGAAUCAAUACCUUCACUUCGGCCUUAAAAAAUAAAUAUCACGGAAAGAUUUGAUUUGAAAAUUAUGCAAUGCUUCUAUAGUAGCGAUUGUAAUUUGUGAGAAUUCACAAAUUAGUUUUUAUCUUAUCCUUUGAGUUAAUGCAUUAAAGGGAGACAGCAAAUUUAACUUUAAUUGUGGGUUUUAUAUAAAGAAAUGAAGAAGCUGAGAUGUUUAAGGAUACAGUUAUCCUGCAUGAUUGCAUCAUUGGAUGUAAGCACCAAAAUGAAAUAUAACACUAACUGUUCUUUUUGUUGUUGAAAAUUGACAGUAACGAAAUUUUUCAUUAAUAACAAUGCAAUCUGAAAUAUUUUAUUUUCAAUUGAAUACAGCUCCGACAGUCACCUCAUACAUGAAAACCACUGAAAAAGGAUAUCUUCGCAUAAAUUCUGAGUGAUUUAAUCGAAAACUAGAAAUUUUUUAUUAUAUUACCCCUAUUUUGGCAUCACUGGUUCGCACAUUUGUGUAUGAAUAUGUAAGAGAACAAAUCCACCAGCGAAAGCUGAGAGUAGUUGCUCUCCAAAGUGGAAUGAAUGAUCGUGGCUUUGUUUUGCUCUGCGACCAUCCACUCUUGGUAGCCGAGCCGCCAGUGCGGUAACCGUCGCAUAAAUCGAACGAGUUUUUCAGUGCAGUACUGAACUCGCGGCCCGUAAGAUAUCGUACCCUUUGAUGAAUGGUCAUAAUCAGCAGCAGCAACAGCAGUCUGAUCAGCUAGCGCUGAGUAAUUGAAUUUCCUCACCGAUCUAUAAUGGAUCAAAUAAUUCUCUCUUCGUGUGCACGUGUGUGAUUUGUAAUAUUUUAGGAGAAAAGUUUUUCGUGGUAAAUUUUCUAGAUUUUGCUGCCUUUUCUGCGUGAACCAGGAAAAAACAUAAAUUUUCGUUGAAGUAUUGAAGGUAACGAGAGAUAAGCAAAAGGAGGCAUAGAUGUUUAUCUUAUCACGAGCAUGCCGUUGAUGAGGAUAAGUUGGUGCGAAAAUGUGUGUUUAAAAUAGUCACUUUCGAGAGUGAAAUUUUGAAGAUGAAAAAAGUGUCCACAAUAAUGAAGUAAAAAAAAGUAUUUCUGCUUGGCACAUUGUUUUAUAUAGUGAGGAAAAAAUACCUAAAGCAAUUGUUUUUUCCUGCCUGCGAAAGCUUAGCCAAGGGGUUUGCAUAAGACAGAACAGGAAAAAAUUAGUGUGCGUUUGGUUCUGUUUCAGUGUGAGUGGAACAAUCGUUUGUCGCAGCUCGAGAAAGUUGGAACAGCUGACUAAGUAGUGGACUAUUUACGUUCUCUGGAUUUGAACAUUUAAAUGAAAUACGACUAGUGGCACUGAUAUCAGAAUGAACCCCGCCAUCAGCGAACAUGAGGCGGCGUCGCUGGUCGCAGAGAUGUUCGAUCAUUUCUGUGCCGCGACCACCAUGCGCCAGAUACUUGGCCUGUACAGAAACAUGUGUGAUAUCCUCGGAUUGCGGCCUGGCCCGCUGAACGAAUUUUACCCAAAGUUCAAGGCGAAAAUACGCAACUGGAAGGCGCAAGCACUGUGGAAGAAAUUUGACGCCCGUGCUUCCCAUCGCGUCUACAACAAAGGCACUGCCGCCAACGGCACUCGUGUACUAGUCAUCGGCGCAGGACCCUGUGGUCUGCGUACGGCAAUUGAAGCACAGCUGCUCGGUGCCAAAGUGGUUGUAGUAGAAAAACGUGAUAGAAUUAGUAGGAAUAACGUACUGCAUCUGUGGCCAUUUCUAAUCACCGAUCUCAAAGCGCUCGGAGCAAAGAAAUUUUACGGUAAAUUCUGUGCCGGUUCCAUCGAUCACAUCUCGAUUCGGCAGUUGCAGUGUAUUCUGCUGAAGGUAGCGCUGCUGCUAGGCGUGGAAGUGCACGAAGGCGUUUCAUUCAUUCGCGAGAUUGAACCGAAGGACGGCUGCGGUUGGCGUGCAGCCGUCUCACCCGAAGAACAUGCCGUAUCCCAUUAUGAAUUCGACGUACUGAUCGGUGCCGAUGGUAAGCGAAAUACCUUGGAAGGCUUCAAACGAAAAGAAUUCAGGGGGAAACUAGCGAUAGCUAUCACUGCUAAUUUCAUCAAUAAGAAAACCGAAGCCGAGGCAAAAGUCGAAGAGAUAAGCGGUGUUGCGUUUAUCUUCAAUCAGUCAUUCUUCAAAGAACUGUACCAAACAACUGGUAUCGAUCUGGAGAACAUUGUAUACUAUAAAGACGAAACACACUAUUUCGUGAUGACAGCGAAAAAGCACAGUCUGCUCGAUAAAGGCGUAAUCAUUCAGGAUUACGCCGAUCCUGCCGAGUUACUAUCUUCGUCGAAUGUAGAUACCACCAAACUGUUGGAUUAUGCUAGGGAAGCUGCAAAUUUUUCCACCAAAUAUCAGAUGCCUAACAUAGAGUUCGCUGUGAACCAUUACGGGAAACCGGACGUAGCUAUGUUCGACUUUACCUCGAUGUUUGCUGCGGACAAUUCGUGUAAGGUUACUGUCCGAAAGAACUAUCGGUUACUAUCCUGCCUGGUUGGAGACAGUCUCUUGGAACCGUUCUGGCCAACUGGAUCAGGUUGCGCUCGAGGUUUCUUAUCCAGUAUGGAUGCUGCGUAUGCGAUAAAACUUUUCUCCAACCAAAAGAACAGCUUACUGGCAGUGCUAGCGCAACGUGAAUCUAUCUACCGAUUACUCGCACAAACUACCCCGGAAAAUCUGCACCGAGAUAUUGGAGCCUACACGCUUGAUCCCAGUACCCGAUAUCCGAACCUAAACAAGGCAUCGGUUAACAUGAUCCAAGUGAAACAUUUACUGGACUCCGACGAUCCAGCGUUACUUGAGCAAACGUUUUUGGAUACGAAUUCGCUUACGGCUGGUCCGGAAGUUACCAUCACCAAACGCAAGCGACGCACAAACGACACUGUUCCAUUGAGUACGGUGCUAUUGCGGUGGAUAAAAUCCCAGCUCAAGGAUAAUGAAUUCGUUCAAGAACUAACCGAUGCAGCUCAAUGUUUCACCAACGGUCAAGUAUUGUGCACAUUGAUUAACCGAUACCGGCCCGAUUUGGUGAAUUUAGACGAAUUAGAAGGAUGUGCGGCAAACGAGAGCAACGAGCAUGCCUUUUCCAUACUCGAGGAUCAUUUAGGAAUACCUCGUGUAAUGUCCGGCCAAGAUUCAGUAACGCUGAUAGGUGUGGAUUCGAAGCAGUGGUUAAACUACCUGGAACAAAUAUGCGAAGUGUUCCGUGGAGAAAUCCCCCACGUUAAGCACCCCAAACUUGACUAUGCCGAGUUUAAGCAGAAACAGCAAAUCAACAAUAUGGAAGAGUUUGCAAAACUACGUCGCUUCGCGGCAAAUCGUGCGGCCGCCAUAAACGAACCCGUUGCAACCGUUGGUAACAUCGGAUUCACUGGCGCGCGGAAGCCUUCCAGCUACUAUCACUCCAACGAAGAAGAGCGUAUCAAGCGCAGUCGAAAGGUGCUGGGUGCAGAAUCUAGUCCAAUGGCUUCACCACAAACCGAUACCACGAAGCGAGCGAAGAAACGUCGUAGUUAUGAGAAAUUUGGCAAUAUUGAGGAACGCACCCGUCGUUUACAGGAGAUCGAAGCGAACCGGUGCGAACGCCAGACGAAACGGCGCCUAGCACGAGCACAGCAAACCCAAAACUUUUACACUAGUCUCCAUAUGCUGCAGGCUAACACUUUCCUGCGCGAAAGUGACAGCUCCAGCGCAUUCGAAGACUAUUCGCUAUUCCUCUACCGGCAAUCGGCUCCAGAGUUCAAUGAUCGCGUCAAAGAGAUGGAACGGAAAAUCCUUUAUCCUGAUCGUGAUCGUGGUCUAGCGGCGGCCUAUCCGCGAAGUCUCGCUGCCGUAGCCGAUGGCGAACAGUUUAGUGAUCGUAUCAAAUCGAUGGAACAGCGAAUCGGUGGCAAACAGGUACCCAUCGCCGAGAAAAAGCCGAAAGAUCUACUGCGCGCGAUCGGUAAGAUUGACAGUAGCGAUUGGAAUGUGAAGGAGAUCGAAAAGAAGAUUGAACUUUCGAAAAAGGCGACCGACAUUGGCAAGAGCCGUGAGCGCGUUCCGAAGUGGAACCGUGAGCAAUUUUUAGCUCGGCAGAAUAAGCUGACCCAGCAGCCAGAAGAUGAAAAGUACAAGGAAUUUGACAAUUCACUCAAAGCGAUCGAUAAACAGCUGAAGGAGGGACAUAACUUGGAUCUCGGUGAACGAGGUAAGAAUAAGGUUGCGUCCAUUGCUGGACAGUUAUUGAGUACCAAACAACAGCAGCGACAACAGCAACAGCAGCAACAGCAACAAAAUCAUCAUCCGAAAUCGACCGCCAAAGCCGCUCUCGUCCUAACGUCUGCUGGGGUUGCAGAAAAGUGCCACUUCUGCAAGCAACGCGUGUACUUAAUGGAAAAGAUUUCAGCCGAAGGACUAACACUACACCGAUCCUGUCUCAAGUGCCAUCAUUGCCACACAAAUUUAAGACUUGGUGGCUACGCCUUCGAUCGGGACGAUCCCGAAGGAAAGUUCUAUUGUACACAACACUUUAAACUGCCGUCGAAAUCUGUGAAACCUACGCCGAAACGAUCGCUACCUCGAACUCCACAGGCGGACGGUAGACAGACGGCAGCGGUAGCAACGGAAUUCAACCAGCCUUCUACGCCUGAAUCGAAAUCAUCCGGAAUCAAUAACUUUGAUUUGCUGGAUCGUGGUGAAACACCCGAGCGUAUCGAGUUUGAAAACGCGGACGAUUCCGUCUCAGACAGUGAAGCGGCAAUGGAAGUCAUCGACGAGAACGAGUGGACCGAUCGUAACUUUGGCACGGAGUCAGAAGAAUCCGAUGAGGACAUGUCCAGUUCAGAUGAAUCGGACAGUGAGAGUGAUUCCGAUUACGAGGAAGCUGCUGGUUCUCCACUGGGGGCUCAAACACUUCAACUUGCGUCCGAAUGGAUCAGUGAUAAACGAUUCUCCAAUAUGGUUGACAGUGAUGAUGAUUUCUAUGGAUACUCAAGUGAAGAUGACGAAGCAGAUUCGCAAACCGAAGGUGAAGAAUUUGCUCGAGCUCGCGAAAUACGUAUGCAGGAGGUUAAACUUAUGCCGCCUCCAACACUUCCAACGGAUACCGAAACCGAGGUUGCCUCUAAACAACAGCCACAAGUAGUCCCCACUAUAUCUCCUUACCAGCCUAGUAACUCUAGCGCCCUUUGCACUAGCAUUAUCCCUAAUCAAUCCGGUAAGGUGCCUUUUGUCAAUAACCCACCGCCACAGUCGCUAGAAUCCGCCGAGGAUAAAGCUCUCAAAGAGAAAAUGCUCCAGAAGCUCAGUGUUCGCGAGCAGUGGCUUCACUCUUCACCUCACUCAUCGUCACCAGGGCCAAGCGAUGUCGCGCCAAGUGCAGAACCCUUAAAACCGAAAACUUCGUUCUUUGGGGGUCUUAUGAAUAGUCUCAGUACACUCAUUAAAUCCGACAAACAGCCACCCAAAACUGAAACGCCUUUACCGCUAAUUUCUAAGGAUUCACCCCCUAGCAUUCAAGAACUUCCACGAGUCGAACAUCAGCCAAUGCCACCACCGUCAUCACUCUGCCAAUCAUCUAUUCUGUCACCAAAACCUCCACCAUCACCAAUACCGACCUUGAAAAAAAUUAAACAUCCAGAUGUUCCCUCAUCGCCCACACCUUCAUUGAAAGUGACGACCAAACAACUUGAAACUCCUCCUUCUCCAACACCAUCUAAGAAAAAAAUGAAGAAACAUAAACAAGCAACUCCAUCUCCAACGCCAUCUUCGAGUAGCCAACGCGUUUCGGAAGAUGCUACAUUCGAUGAAACAUUCGAAGAUGACCUUAAAGAUUUGAACAGCGGUCGGAGCACACCACGUUCCAAGCGACGCACACGAACCAAAUCACAUGAAGUGCGUCAAGAUGCAGAUGAAUUUCUGGAGCAGAUUAAACAAGAUCAAGCAGCUUUGGACAAGCGCAUGAAGAAAGUAGAGGCUAAAAAGUUCCAGAGUAACAUGCAAUCUAUUAAAUCAGCGGUUGAGAGUUCUCGUAUAGUUGGCGUUAAAAGUGAAAAAGAUGUUACGAAAUUUUUCUCUGCACCUAAGAAAGAAUCAACUGAACAGAAGCCGAAACAGCUUCCAAAUAAGGAUGUUUCUGCACUGCAAGGUGUCAAUCUUUCGAAGUAUUUUCCUUCAUCACCGACAAAGUCAAAGGCUAGCAUUGGAACACCGUCCUCGGUAUCCAGUGUUGAAAGCUCCCCCAUGCUUCCACGUAAAAAGCCAAGUGAUACAGAACUGUUGAAAUAUUUUGGUCCCAAUACAGCAAAAUCCUCUCCGUCGUCUCCAUCUUCUCUGAUUUCACCUGCUUUAUCCCGUCAAAAUAGUAACGAGUCACCUGUAGUUGUUCGAAAAGUUAUUUCCCCAUGUACUGUAAAUACUGUUCCCAAAGUUAUGACACCAGCUGUAUUAGCCCCUAGACCUCCGAUGGUGCCUCUUCCUCCCAAGAAAAAUGUUUUGGCUUUCCAACCUGUUAAAAAGUCAAAAACCGAAACUUCUGUACCAGUCUCUGCUCCAGUUACAAAUAAGCUGGCUCCUCAACCCGUAGCUAAAUUAGAAUCUUCUUCCAAAACUGUAAAGAAAUCUAAGCUUACCUCACCACCAAAAAUAUCCAGCCCACCACCGAGAAAGUCUCCCGAGAUAGAAGAUAAAUUAUUCGAUGAUCUACUCAAAGAUAUCGGUGAGUCAUCGAAUGCUUCAUUCCAAAGUUUAUGUUCUUCGGUUUCUUCCCACGAUGUAGAAGAGAAGUUGUUUGAAGAUUUGCUAGAAAAUCUGAACAAAUCACUGAAACCGGAGCAAACAACUCCCGAGAAAGCGGAACCUAAACCCAAAUUGUCUCCACGAAAGCUAUCCCAAGAUAAUGAUGAGCAACUCUUUGAAGACCUACUCGGAGACGUGGACGAGUCCUUGAUUGAAAAUUUUGACGAAAUUCUUGGUCUCCCCAAAAAGCAAAGUCCCAAACUUUCAAGAAAAAAGUCUUCUCCCAAACAUUCUCCAAGGGUUUCCCCGAAGCACUCUCCACCUGCUGAGAAAAAAGCGACAAGCAAUAAUCCACCGAAAAUGACAAUAAAACGACCACCGUUUAAGAUAACUGUCCCAGUCAAAAUGCAGCAAACUCUGGAGGAGAUUUACCUAGCUAGUUUAUCAAAACUGGAUACCCGAUCUGCAUCUACGACCAGUUUGAACUCUGUCAACAGUAAAUCUAGUGAUGGUGACUUAGGUAAAAUCGAUGAAGCAUUCGAACAGUUGCUCCUAGAUGAACCACUGUCGAAUGCUUCGAGUCAACCGGAGCAAAUCAAAAUCCAGCCCUUUCAGGCCCCCCAGCGUACAACGACGAAGAAGAAUGGUGGCAUCCAGGAAGACGAGAAAGCUACUAACAUCAAACCGCAAAAAGAUUCAUCGACGAGGACCGUGGCUCCGAAGGUAUUGCCGUUAGAAACAUCGAAGACAGAGAUUGCAAAAACAAUAGCAGAGAAACAAGAAACUUCAACACAGCUGAAACGAGUGCCGUCUGUUAGCGAAAAAACUCCGAGCAAAACUAAGUUAAUUUCUUCUAUUGUUACUGAACCAUCGAAACGUGUUGAUGCAACACUGACUUCCCCAUCAAAUACAGUAGUAAACGCGGUGCCAAUAGACACAAAGAAAACAGAUUCGACAGGAGAACAUCAAACAUCGCAAAAAAGUGCAAUCGCUCAAGAACAAUCUAAAACACCUAUUUCGUCACGAAAAAAUACUGUUCAGAAAUCAGAAUCUCAGCAUAAUUCUGUACAUCCACUGAAAAGUCAACCAGCAAAGCUAUUAGAGACGCGGAAACCAGCUACAACCCCAGCAUUGUCUGCUGAAUUACCGGUUACUACAGGCCAACCUCUCUCUUCAAUAACAAAAUCUAUUCAAAUUAUUCCACCUAAAACACCUCCACAUGGAAUUAAAAAGAUCGAAACUCUGGAUGUUUCAAACAUAACAAACAAUUCCUCUAUAAGAUCAUCAGAAACCCAGACUAUGAACACUAAGUUAGAUCCGUCUCAAAACGAAAUCCCGACUAAAUCAGAGUCGAAGAGAUUUAAAGAAAACCCGAUAGUAACGAGUUCUCAGAAGUUGUCAACAGAAUCACAGCAAAAUAUCAACACAAACAGAAAAGUUCUCGUCAAAGAGAAAAAUUUACCUGUACCAACCCCUACUCCAGUGAAAGUCAUCACGAUGAAUACACUUGCCUCAAAGAUUUUCGAACCCUCUACAAUAGCUGAAAAAUCUGACGAUUUUACUAGAGUCAAUACUCAAAAUUCUGCUAAGCUGACAGCACAAACGACAACUUUACCUCAUCAAGCUGGAAUUGGAGGUCCUAUCUCCAAAGUAUUGGUACAAGAACACAACGUACCUGUUUCAAGUCCUAUUCUGGUAAGAAAAUCCACAAUGACUGUUCCUGCCGAACAGAGUGUGAAACAAAUAGAACCUCCCAAUCGAAUUCCAUCUAAUCAAACUGGCAGUCCGAUUAACGAAGUGUUAGUUCAAAAACACAGUGGACCUUCAUCGAGUCUUGCUGUGUCAAAACAGAUAGUAAAGCCUGUAGAUGUGGAGGUACGUACUGAUAAAUACGAAGCUCGUGGAAAUCAUACAUUAGAAUCGACCUCAUCUGCUACUAUGAAGCUUCAGGAACCCGCUUCAACUCAACAGCAAAGUCCACUACGACGAGAGCAGAAAGUUUCACGCAUAGACAUAUGCGUCCAGGAACUGCCUAUGAAACAGGAGCCUAUUAUGCAAAUACUGCCGACAACACAGAAAACAGCCUUGCAGCCGUCAACACCAGUUUCCAAAAGGCAAGAAUUUUUCAAAGAACUCGAAGAUCAUAAAGAACUAAAAGAACCUACGAUAUUGGAAAAUAAAUUGAUCGAGGUUCCCCGCACACUUUCCGAAUUCCGGACCUCAAUUCUUACGAAACAGCAACGUUCCGACGACAAAAAUGAUGGCAAUAUUGAUGAACCUGCUAUGCUGCGUGACAAAAUUAACGAGUUAGUAAUGGAAGUUGAACCCGGUACAAACCUUGACGACAUCGUCGAUGAAAUUCCAGUUCCAGCACAGCGAACGAAAUCUUCUUUCCAAAAGAUGUUUAACAAAUUGCAGCGCGCAAACACUAUUGCCGCACCAGAGAGGUCCUCGUUGCAGAGUAUAUUAUUGCCGUGCAAACUAGAGAUUGCUAGUCAAAAGGAGCCUGAUACGAACACUGCUAAAAUAGCAACAGUUCAACAACCAGUACAAGUGAAUGAACGCAUGCAGAUCAACCUUGAACGUACGGCACAAAUCAAAGAAAAGUAUACCAAACCAAAUACACUAUCUAGUGGUAUUGAGACCUCUAUCCCUAUAACCGUCACGAGAACAUCUUCUUUCAAAAUUCACUCAUCGUCGCAGGAAUCAAAGUCGCCACUUCAACAAAAUCAAGUUGAGAGUGCAAAGACCUCCAACAUGUCAAUAACACAAACUGAUAAGAAUGAGAAAGUGCCGAUUACAAACCGAACAGAGCACGUUGCUCCUGACAAGAGAACGAAGACACCACCCAAACUGAAUCAUAAUAAUGAUAAAUCACUUUUAAGAGACCUUCAGCUUGUUACACCGAAAAAGACAACAAGUGAUACGUUAGAAACGUCCCCGGUGCCACCGAUCCGUAGAGGCUCUCGAAAAUCACGGUCGCCAAGUAUUACCUCUGAACUGUCGAAACUUGGAGAACGCAAAGCCCUAUUGAAAAUAACAACACCAAGCAACAUUGACAAUGUGCGUAGCAUAUUGAGUCGUGACGAUGAAAGCAAGGCGAAAGAAAUUUCCAAUUUUGAAGAAAUACUUGAUAAUGUAGAUAUUACCGAAAUAGUUGAAAUAAACGAUUUACUUAUCUCGGAUAGCAAACCGACGCAGGAAGAAGUUGUACCGUUGUGUUCGAAAGGUGAAAUCAUUUCAAAUGUUGUCACUGAGAACAAGACGUUGGACGUCGUUGAUCUGCCUUCAUCCUCUACCGUAAAAACUAUGAAACCAAUUGCAGACGAUAAUCUUGAAAACUAUGAAAUGAUUGCCAAAGCUACUGUUUCAGCGAUAUGCACUACUAAUGUUGACCCAAAACGAAAAUGUUCAGGAAAUGGUCUUUCCUUAGAAGAAUUCAAUCAAACGUCAAAGGAGUUGACGGAUAAAUUCCUUACCUCUAAAUUGCCUUCUUACCAAAAGCUUGAACAAGAGAAAACAAAUCUCAACUCCGAAUCAAUGCUCAAGACUCCAAUCGAGACUACAAUUAUACCAGGAAAAGAAUUAGAUCUGUUCGAAACUCUCUGCAAGCCAGAAUCAUCCACGAUAUUGAAGUUGAAUGAAUCCGAUCUUAUCAACUCGUCGUCAUCUUCGCCUGAGCUAAGUGUUCUACCUGAUGUAAUUGAAAUGACACGAAAGCCAUCCGUCGAAGAGGCGCAGCCUUCUAAAGUAUCUAAACAUAUGGACAAGAUUGAUAAAAUCGUGCACAGUGUGCCUCAAGAGAUUCAAGUUUACACGUUGCACACAGCGGAAGAUAACAAACCGCUUGAACCGCAGCCAUCCACUCGUGGUGUGACCGGAGAAUAUGCUCACAUUUUGCGUGACAUCACAUCCGGGUUGGUUGGUGCUAAUUAUGGGGCUGCUGAAAUAUAUGAGCCUCCACCUCCAGCGGUUGACGUUAAACCAAGAAAAGAUUUCACAACGUAUAAGAAAAUGCUAGACGACAUGGCUGACGAAUCAUGCGGCCAACCAAAACGUCCGUCUCGACGACAAAAACAAUACGAUCGUAGUAUAUCACCUGCUCUCAAACCGUUUGAUAAUUCCAUUUGUGUGGAUCCACGACGUAGGAAACGUUCUGCAAGCAUUGAAAAUAUCGCGAUCGAUCAGGUGUUUGUGAAACAAGACAACAAAGUAAUCGAUACAUUUUACGUAGUUCCCGAACGACCACCACCACUGAAGCGACGUUCUAAAUCGUUUGAUCGAUUGGAUUCAUCCCGAUCACACGCACGUCAACACAAAAAGUCCCUGGAUGAACUCCGUGAUUACGGAUUUGAUGUUGAGCCACCAACCGCCUCCAAGCACUUAGUUAAUCCUACAUUGAGGCACUUCAAUAUUGAGGAGUCAGAUGAAGAGCUUUCUAGUGUUAGAGAUCCUAGAAGGCAGCAACAUAUACGGAAGUGUAUGUCAUCAGUUGAUACAGCAAAACUAGGAGUAGAACCUACGAGAGUCGAUAUCGAUCGUGAAUCUCCCAUUCCUCGCAGUACUGAUUUUUCAAAAUGGGAAGCUAUUCUAGAUCGUGGUGUUUCGUACUAUAGUGAACCGAAACACCAUAAAAAGGAAGACAUCAAGUCUCUGGAAAGAAAACUAGAAGAUUUAAAAGUCGAGAGGAAACCACGACGAAAAAUCACAGACAAGACUGAUAUACCAAAAGAUUAUGAUCCAGAAGAGUACGUACCGAGAAUCAAUCGUAGAUUCAUUGAUACUUAUGAAGUGCCGGAUCCCAACCUUCCUAAAUCAUAUGAUCCCGAUGAGUAUGUACCCAAAGCUCAGCGAACAGCACACCGUACUCAUGAUUUAGAUACUGCUGCAUCCACCGUUAGACCACAGCGGUCUUCUGCGUACGAAAUGGAAGUUCCGAUAUCGCGUGUAGCUGGAAAGUAUUAUCCGGAAACAAUGCAUCUGGAUGAUAUUCCACAUACCAUUCCUAGAUCAAAGACAACUUCUCAUGUACCGUUAUCGUCAAUUUCCUCUAGGUCUUAUGAUCUACCCUCCCGAGAUGUCAUGAAGACACAGUACUCUCGUCGUACUGCUGUAACCACUGCUGACGGUAGUAGUCGUACUCGGCAACUGCACGAAAAAGCCAACAAGUUCAUUCGAUCUCAAAUCAUUAAACACGAUCCUAACCCAUACAUUCGUGCUAUGGCUGACAGUGACGAUGACGAUUGUCCCGUUACAACAUCGAUAUCUCACCGCACACCGACUACCACUAGUUCGUAUCGUCCCGUUUCUACUUUUGGUGCAUCCAAUACGGCAGCUAUUAGUCGCAUUACCACUAAAGCCGUCACACAGCCGUCAAGAAUGACUCAUUACACUCGCAAAUAUGUUCCAUCAUCGUCUACAAAUACCACCGCUCGAUCGUAUAAUAGAGGGGGUGAAUCUUCUAAUCGUCGAGAGAAUUGUUCAAUUUCCUAAAAUUAACAAACAAACUAGCUUUAGAUUUCUUUUUGGAUAACGUUUGAUCAAAAUUACGACACUCAUUCACCACAACACAUCAAUCGAACAAGAGAUCACACAUAUUCUUAAGCAUAGCAUAUACCUUCGAAAUUGCACCUCUACCAAAAAAAAACAUAAUCCGGAUUCCUGGGUACGAUUUAAGCUGAAAUGAGGAAGUAGCUCAUGACUAAAAGAGGGUGCGUCGGACUCCGAUUCGUGCUCGGAUGAAAUCAACUCUGCAACGGAGAUUUCGACCGACUCAGAGUUUGACCAUGAGCCGAGCCAUCGGUUGCCACCGCGUAUUUUCAUCGACGACUCACAUUUGCGACGACCGG